GAUGAACGCUAGCUACAGGCUUAACACAUGCAAGUCGAGGGGAAACGACAUCGAAAGCUUGCUUUUGAUGGGCGUCGACCGGCGCACGGGUGAGUAACGCGUAUCCAACCUGCCCAUCACUUGGGAAUAACCUUGCGAUAGUAAGACUAAUACCCAAUGAUAUCCCACGAAGGCAUCGGAAUGGGAUUAAAGAUUUAUCGGUGAUGGAUGGGGAUGCGUCUGAUUAGCUUGUUGGCGGGGUAACGGCCCACCAAGGCAACGAUCAGUAGGGGUUCUGAGAGGAAGGUCCCCCACAUUGGAACUGAGACACGGUCCAAACUCCUACGGGAGGCAGCAGUGAGGAAUAUUGGUCAAUGGGCGAGAGCCUGAACCAGCCAAGUAGCGUGCAGGAUGACGGCCCUAUGGGUUGUAAACUGCUUUUAUAAGGGAAUAAAGUGGGUCUCGUGAGACUUUUUGCAUGUACCUUAUGAAUAAGGACCGGCUAAUUCCGUG
rnacentral:rRNA from 1 species